UACAUCACUUCAAAGAGUUUCUCUUUGAAUGUGGACCUGGACGUUGCAAUUACCUGCUCGUCUUAAAUAUGUUAGUCGGUACAACCGUAGCUGAGCGUAAUAAGUUUCGCUGGGCGAAGGGGGCAGCCGGCUUAUAAUCGCCACUUUGGUUGGCUCUCGCUGCAUCAGGCGGCUCAUG
rnacentral:misc_RNA from 1 species